UUGGAGGGCAAGUCUGGUGCCAGCAGCCGCGGUAAUUCCAGCUCCAAUAGCGUAUAUUAAAGUUGUUGCAGUUAAAAAGCUCGUAGUUGAAUUUCGAGAUCAAAUUGUUGGUCGUGCCUUGGUACGUACUGGCAUUAUUGAUUUCUCCCUUCUGAAGAACCACGAUGUCAUUAAUUUGGUGUCAUGGGGAAUCAGGACUGUUACUUUGAAAAAAUUAGAGUGUUUAAAGCAGGCUAACGCCUGAAUACAUUAGCAUGGAAUAAUGAAAUAGGACGUUCGAUCCUAUUUUGUUGGUUUCUAGGAUUGACGUAAUGAUUAAUAGGGAUAGUUGGGGGCAUUAGUAUUCAAUUGUCAGAGGUGAAAUUCUUGGAUUUAUUGAAGACUAACUACUGCGAAAGCAUUUGCCAAGGAUGUUUUCAUUAAUCAAGAACGAAAGUUAGGGGAUCGAAGACGAUCAGAUACCGUCGUAGUCUUAACCAUAAACUAUGCCGACUAGGGAUCGGAUGAUGUUAAUUUUUUAAUGACUCAUUCGGCGCCUUACGGGAAAC
rnacentral:rRNA from 1 species